rnacentral:tRNA from 1 species
GUCCCCAUAGUAUAAUGGAUAGAACACAACCUUGCGGAGGUUGAGAUCUGGGUUCGAUUCCCAGUGGGGACG